rnacentral:rRNA from 1 species
CUUUAAAGAAAGCGUAAUAGCUCACUGGUCAAGUCGGCCUGCGCGGAAGAUGUACCGGGGCUAAGCUGUGUACCGAAGCUGCGGAUGCAAGCUUGCUUGCAUGGUAGGGGAGCGUUCUGUAAGCCAGUGAAGGUGUGCCGUGAGGCAUGCUGGAGGUAUCAGAAGUGCGAAUGCUGACGUGAGUAACGAUAAAGGGGGUGAAAAACCCCCUCGCCGAAAGUCCAAGGUUUCCUGCGCAAUGUUAAUCAGCGCAGGGUUAGUCGGCCCCUAAGGCGAGGCCGAAAGGCGUAGUCGAUGGGAAACAGGUUAAUAUUCCUGUACCGCAUAUAACUGCGAUGGGGUGACGGAGAAGGUUAGACCAUCCGGGCGUUGGUUGUCCCGGUUUAAGCGUGUAGGGAGUGUUCUUAGGUAAAUCCGGGAGCACAAUUCUGAGACGUGAUGACGAGAUUUCUUUUGAAAUUGAAGUGGUUGAUACCAUGCUUCCAGGAAAAACCUCUAAGCUUCAGGUUACAUGUGUCCGUACCCUAAAC